UACGUAGGGGGCAAGCGUUGUCCGGAUUUAUUGGGCGUAAAGAGCUCGUAGGCGGUUCCGUAAGUCGGGUGUGAAAAAUCUGGGCUCAACCCACGUGGAGCACCCGAUACUGCGGUGACUCGAGUCCGGUAGGGGAGUGUGGAAUUCCUGGUGUAGCGGUGAAAUGCGCAGAUAUCAGGAGGAACACCGACGGCGAAGGCAGCACUCUGGGCCGGUACUGACGCUGAGGAGCGAAAGCAUGGGGAGCGAACAGG
rnacentral:rRNA from 1 species